CCAAGCCCUUUCAGUUGGCACGUCGAACCCGUAGCGUACGCACCGCGCACGGAGAGCACUUCGCCGUUUCGUUCAACGCUUGCGUUGCGCUUGCGAACACAGGCGUCAGAAAUAACCCAUCAUCAUGCCUGGUUGCUGCGCCUUCGGGUGUAGCAACCGAACGGAGUCCGGGAAGGCAUUUUUCUCUAUUCCGUGCUGGAAGGACGACGGUGAACGACGUUCUGCGUGGCUCCACAGAAUUGGCCGCAAAAACUUCGCGCCCUCGAAGAACACCCGCUUGUGCGAGGACCAUUUCAUUCCUGAUGAUUUUGAGAAACCAAGAGUCGAAUCGGAAGACCGGUAUGCUGUUGUCAUGCUUGACGAAAUAAAUUGUUGUUGUGACUGUUGUGAAAUAAAUAUGUUGCUUGCCUCCA